UGUAACUGCUGUAAAGUAGAACUGAAACAAUAGCUUGCGGCUGUCUGAAUCAGUUUCCUUGUUUCACACUUUUGAGUCAGAGCUGAAUAUUUCAGAACCUCAAAUAAAGCUUGUUUCAAUUUUGGUUCUAAUAAUGGGCAAAGGUUAACAGAGGCAGUUGGGAGGAGAAGGGAAUUGAAAGGGAGGGGCUUGUUUUUGAACCAGCUUCACCCUAGUUCUCUGUAGAAUAAUGACUGAAAUUAAAGGAAGCCAAGAAAUGAAAUGGACGGUUGCAAAAUGAUAUUUUAUGGUAGUGUUAGGAGGCCUCCUACUGAAUGGUAUUAACAAGGCCUUCUUCUGAAAAAACAAGAGCAGCUGAGAAGAGAGAAAACCUACCUACUUGCCAUCAGAGAAGAAAAUAUCUGUAGAUGUAAGGGAUCCAUGGAAUCUAUGAAAAUAAGAGUUCAACCAGUUUUGCUUGCACAAACAGCCUGGUGCACACAGUAGAAAUGGCUAACUGUUUUUGCUGCUGAGACAACAGUGGCCUCCAAGAAACGGACUGCAAUCUUUUGCAUCAACUUGACCGGUAAGAAAUGCACGUAUGACCAGCUGUCCCAAACUGGCCGCCUCCAGGUGCGGUACAGUAUCUGGCUACUAGUUGGUGGAGAUGCUGCUUGGUAUUGAAUGAGUGGUGACCCCAGGUGACACUGAGAAGGCACUGAGGAGAUGAAGAGAAACAGCCACAUGAUGCAUUGUACAUGGCAACUUUUCCAGGUACUUAAGUUACAAGCAUUCUUCAAGGAGGAACUUUACCCUGGAGUGGAGCCAUGCCUCACUUGUCUGCUUUGUCUUCACUGUAUGGCUGACUGGACAGUAAUACAAUGGCAGAAAGGAUUUCUGUGCAGUGAGCUGUGUUUUUGCUGAGUUACAGCCAGGCAGGAGAGCCGGGCCUUGGAGACUGUGGCUGCAUUUUGAAUGCCUGAAGGGAAAAGGACACUUUCUGUUAUUUGACCUCCUUUGCUGAGGAGGGCUUUCCAUAAAGGACCAGUUUGGGAGCUUGGAAAGAAGUGUGGCUGCGGAUUACGAGGAGGCCAGCUGGUAGGGGGUGCUGCCAUCUCACUUUGGAUGUUGAAGACCCAGACUCAAGUCCCUAUUCUGACUCCUAUAUUUCACGCAAACUCAUGCCCACAAAAAUCUGGCAUGAUGUAUGUGAAAGUGGGUUGAUCAUGAAGCAGAGCCCUUUCUGGAACAGAACGAUGCUGCUUAUGGAGGUCAUUGAGAUCAUGAUGGAAGAACAGAAAAUAUAUACUUGUAUUUAGUUUCCUCAGUGCUAUGGCUUAAAGAAUUGGUUAGAAAAAGUUGCAUGACAGACAACAGUGUUUUGGCUCAAGACUGGUGAGUGGGCAUCAUUAGCUGAAGGGUAUUUUUCUGUCAGACUUGCUGUCAGGUCACUUCAAUUGCAGCAUCUGCCAGUGCAGGAGCCCUGCAGCAUCAGAUCCCUCUUCAAGGUUAAAAGAUUAAUGGGAAGAAAAGAUGCCCAAAAAUUGCCUGUACUGUACCUUGGAGGAUGAAGAGGGAUACUGAUGAUUUUUUUCAAGGACUCUUGGUGUUGGCCUGGCUGAGCUCUGUUGAUGCCAGUGGGAACAAAUCUGAAUCAAUGCUGAGUGCUUUAGAAAAGCCUGCAGUUUGUGAGACAUGGGGAUUUUGUCUCUGAGGAAGAGUAAUAUGAGUAAAGCAGGCCCUGUGUAUGUCUCUUCUUUUCUUUUUUUCUGAGGCCCAUUCUUAUUCCCUGUAUAUUAAACAAAUUGAGGCACUGUGGUUCUACGCACGAUACAAACACAUUUGUAAGCUGGAGAGCCCUUGCCUCAAUGUUCACAGUCUGAAUAGGCAAGGUGAGUUGAAAUGUCUUUAUCAACCAGGGUGAAAAACAGCUUCAGAUGCACAAGAUCUUCUUCCUAAGAUCUGCUAGGCGAAGGCUGUGUCUUCUCUUCAGAGCAAGGAGUGCAUUUAUGCUGAGCCAGGUGCAGAUGGUUUCCACCUUGCUGCAAGCAGUUGAGACCAUCCCCCACCUGGGGAUUACUUCUCUUUAGGAUUUAGCACAAAUCCUAGGAAGUACAAACAGGUGACAUGUACAUUUAAGCUGGGAAGCAGAAGACUGGUUGUAACCAUCAGAGGAGCCUUCCAAUGGGGGCACCAAAAUCAAAAUUGUUUUAAAGGGGAGGUGAAUAAAGCUUGAGUGGACUAUAUAAUGCCA
rnacentral:lncRNA from 1 species